rnacentral:rRNA from 1 species
AACGAACGCUGGCGGCAUGCCUAACACAUGCAAGUCGAACGAGACCUUCGGGUCUAGUGGCGAACGGGUGCGUAACGCGUGGGAACCUGCCCUUAGGUUCUGAAUAACUCCCCGAAAGGGGUGCUAAUAACGGAUACUGUCUUCGGACCAAAGAUUUAUCGCCUUUGGAUGGGCCCGCGUUGGAUUAGCUAGUUGGUAGGGUAAAAGCCUACCAAGGCGACGAUCCAUAGUUGGUCUGAGAGGAUGAUCAGCCACACUGGGACUGAGACACGGCCCAGACGCCUACGGGAGGCAGCAGUGGGGAAUAUUGGAGAAUGGGCGAAAGCCUGAUCCAGCGAUGCCGGGUGAGUGAUGAAGGCCUUAGGGUUGUAAAGCUCUUUUACCCGGGAUGAUAAUGACAGUACCGGGAGAAUAAGCACCGGCUAACUCCGUG